UCGAACGCUUUGUGGUUCAACUGAUUUGAAGAGCUUGCUCAGAUAUGACGAUGGACAUUGCAAAGAGUGGCGAACGGGUGAGUAACACGUGGGAAACCUACCUCUUAGCAGGGGAUAACAUUUGGAAACAGAUGCUAAUACCGUAUAACAAUGACAACCGCAUGGUUGUUAUUUAAAAGAUGGUUCUGCUAUCACUAAGAGAUGGUCCCGCGGUGCAUUAGCUAGUUGGUAAGGUAAUGGCUUACCAAGGCGAUGAUGCAUAGCCGAGUUGAGAGACUGAUCGGCCACAAUGGGACUGAGACACGGCCCAUACUCCUACGGGAGGCAGCAGUAGGGAAUCUUCCACAAUGGGCGAAAGCCUGAUGGAGCAACGCCGCGUGUGUGAUGAAGGGUUUCGGCUCGUAAAACACUGUUGUAAGAGAAGAAUGACAUUGAGAGUAACUGUUCAAUGUGUGACGGUAUCUUACCAGAAAGGAACGGCUAAAUACGUGCCAGCAGCCGCGGUAAUACGUAUGUUCCAAGCGUUAUCCGGAUUUAUUGGGCGUAAAGCGAGCGCAGACGGUUAUUUAAGUCUGAAGUGAAAGCCCUCAGCUCAACUGAGGAAUUGCUUUGGAAACUGGAUGACUUGAGUGCAGUAGAGGAAAGUGGAACUCCAUGUGUAGCGGUGAAAUGCGUAGAUAUAUGGAAGAACACCAGUGGCGAAGGCGGCUUUCUGGACUGUAACUGACGUUGAGGCUCGAAAGUGUGGGUAGCAAACAGGAUUAGAUACCCUGGUAGUCCACACCGUAAACGAUGAGUGCUAGGUGUUUGAGGGUUUCCGCCCUUAAGUGCCGCAGCUAACGCAUUAAGCACUCCGCCUGGGGAGUACGACCGCAAGGUUGAAACUCAAA
rnacentral:rRNA from 1 species